GAAAUUUUUUAUCUCUUUUGGCGGUUGGAAAUGGCUCUGGCACGGUGGCAGGUGGCGGCGGCUCUCCUUUUCGGCGGCUGGGUCUUCUUCUCCAGCGAGGGUGUCUGGCGGCUAGGGUUAGGGUUUGGUGUGAAAAGGGUUAUUUAUAUCCAUUCUCAUUUAAUUUGUGCCAUCCAUCGUGUUUGAUAUGAACUGUCUGAUCGCGAUUAAAUAAGGAGUGAAUCUAGGUCGUCCAUCGCGAUUUAAUUUGGAUCGUCCGAUCACGUUUAAAUAGGAAGUAGAUCUAGACCAUUGAUCGCUUUUAAAUUUGAUCGUCUGAU
rnacentral:lncRNA from 1 species